rnacentral:rRNA from 1 species
GCUCUUUUUACGGAUCACCCCCUUUGUAAGCCAUACAUAAAUUACAAACUUUACCUAAAUAAAGAAAAAUUUCAUAACACACAGUAUUUUAUAAAAAUUGUGAUUUAAUUUACAACCGCAAGGAUUAACACCUCAGGACCUAAAAGAAUUGAUAAUAUCAUAUCCCUUUUGCAUCAUGGAGAAGCAACAAAAAUAUAGUAAGCUAAGCUCCCGAAUGACUAUGAGCUACUAACUCUUAAAAAUCAAUGUUUCACAAUUGAUAAAGUAACUUUUAGUAGAAGUAAUAAGCCUUUCAUAUAGUCAUAUAGCUGGUCUUUCUUUAAAAGCAUCAAAGUGCUGACUUGUAGUAUUAUAUUAACAUAUUACUAUAAACUACAAAGUUUAGUUUAUUGAGGACAAGCUCAAUAAAAACCCAAAAAUACCUUAUCCAUUAACUUUCCAAGUAGGCUUAAAAGCAGCCACCUAACAACGUUUUAGUUAUCAGCGCCUAUAAUUCUUAAUAUUUAUACUCUAUCAUUUUAACCUAAAAGAAAUUUAACACAAAACUCCACCUGUUAAUAAACAGGCAUUCUAUUAGUAUUAACGUAAUUAACCCCUCAAAAAAAUAAAACGACUUGAAUCAAAAACCAUCUUACCAACAAAACUACAUAAAGUGAACUCGGCAAAUAAAUUCCCUGCCUGUUUACCAAAAACAUCGUCUUUUGGAUUCUUCUAUAAAAGAUAAUGCCUGCCCAGUGAAAAUUUUAAACGGCCGCGUUAGCGUGAGCGUGCUAAGGUAGCGUAAUAAUUAGCCUCUUAAUUGGAGGCCAGUGAAUGGCAAGACUAGGAAUACCUGUACUUUGUGUAUAAAAAAAACUUUUCGUCUAAGUGAAAAGACUUAGAUAACAAAGGAAGACGAAAAGACCCCGCGGAACUUUACCUUUUCUUUAUACCUCUGCAUACAAGCUUAAAAGUAUAUAAGGUUUGAUUGGGGCAAUCUUGGAACCAAUAAAGCUUCCAACCUUCACACAAAAUCAUAUAAAAUUUAUUAAGGACCACAAAGUAGUUACCCCGGGGAUAACAGCGUAAUCCAACUUAAGAGUACACAUCGAAAGUUGGGUUUGCGACCUCGAUGUUGGCUUAAGGAUAUCCACAUAAGUGCAACCGCUAUGACAGGAUAGUCUGUUCGACUAUUAUACCCUUACAUGAGCUGAGUUAAGACCGGCGCAAGCUAGGUUGGUUUCUAUCUCCUUUAAUUUAUAAAAGACUUCUUGAUUGUACGAAAGGACCCCAAGAGAUGCAUUUAAUGAUAGCACCUUAUUAAACCUAUACUUAUAAACCAAACAUCAUAGCGGGUUAGUAUAAAAAUACCA